UACGUAGGUGGCAAGCGUUGUCCGGAAUUAUUGGGCGUAAAGCGCGCGCAGGCGGCUAAGUAAGUCUGAUGUGAAAGCCCGGGGCUCAACCCCGGUGUGCAUUGGAAACUGCGUAGCUUGAGUGCAGAAGAGGAAAGCGGUAUUCCACGUGUAGCGGUGAAAUGCGUAGAGAUGUGGAGGAACACCAGUGGCGAAGGCGGCUUUCUGGUCUGUAACUGACGCCGAGGCGCGAAAGCGUGGGGAGCAAACAGG
rnacentral:rRNA from 1 species